AGCAGCCGCGGUAAUUCCAGCUCCAAUAGCGUAUAUUAAAGUUGUUGCAGUUAAAAAGCUCGUAGUUGAAUUUCGGGGUCAGCAAGUUGGUCGUGCCACUGGUAUGCACUGGCUUUGCUGAUUCCUCCUUCUUGAAGAACUGUAAUGCUAUUAAUUUAGUGUUGCAGGGAAACAGGACUGUUACUUUGAAAAAUUAGAGUGUUUAAAGCAGGCUAACGCUUGAAUACAUUAGCAUGGAAUAAUGAAAUAGGACGUUUGAUCCUAUUUUGUUGGUUUCUAGGAUUGACGUAAUGAUUAAUAGGGAUAGUUGGGGGCAUUAGUAUUCAAUUGUCAGAGGUGAAAUUCUUGGAUUUAUUGAAGACUAACUACUGCGAAAGCAUUUGCCAAGGAUGUUUUCAUUAAUCAAGAACGAAAGUUAGGGGAUCGAAGACGAUCAGAUACCGUCGUAGUCUUAACCAUAAACUAUGCCGACUAGGGAUCGGAUGAUGUUAAUUUUUAAUGACUCAUU
rnacentral:rRNA from 1 species